GACGAACGCUGGCGGCGUGCCUAACACAUGCAAGUAGAACGAGUUGCGAACGGGUGAGUAACGCGUGGUAACCUCCCUCAUAGCGGGGGAUAAAUAUUGGAAACGAUAGCUAAUACCCCAGACUGUGAGAUGGACAUGCGUUGUUUUAGCUAGUUGGUGAGGUAAAGGCUCACCAAGGCGACGAUACAUAGCUGACCUGAGAGGGGGAUAGGCCACACUGGAACUGAGACACGGUCCAGACUCCUACGGUGGGCAGCAGUGGGGAAUAUUGCACAAUGGGGGAAAGCCUGAUGCAGCCAUGCCGCGUGUAUGAAGAAGGCCUUCGGGUUGUAAAGUACUUUCAGCGGGGAGGCGUUACCCGCAGAAGAAGCACCGGCUAACUCCGUGCCAGCAGCCGCGGUAAUAC
rnacentral:rRNA from 1 species